rnacentral:lncRNA from 1 species
CCACCUGUUUGUGAGCAUCUAUGAUGAGCUUGAUUGUAAAGAACGUGAUGGUGAACUGAGAGAAGUAGAAACUAUGGCCCCUGGCUGGAACUUUGAGUUUCUCUUAAGCUCUGAUGUUUUCAUUCUUUAUAAAAGGAGAGGAUAAAGCAGCAUGUCAGCAUCCAAUAUGAAGGGAACAUUUCAACAGAUCUGAAAAGGGGUUAAAAAGAAGAAGAUUGGACUUAAUUUUAAUUCCCCAUCAAACUCUUGAAUUUUAUGAUUAAGAUGUUAUUCUGAAAUCUUUGCUAAAAACUGGAAAAUUUGUCCAUCGCUGACAACUCUUCCGCGGGCAAACUUUGCAUCCAUGGCGUUAGUGACACCGCCUGCCGUCAGCUUUCAGCACCGGGAGAGGCUGCGUGUCAGCCCGCGUGGGAUCCGGAGCCGCUGAGGGCGCAGGGGGCGCAGAGGGGUGACAGGGCCAGGCUGGCGCUAACGGUGUUGACGCUCGUGUUGGCACCAGCACUUCUUUCAGAGGCAUAAAAUCGGCCUCCAUAUCUUUAUUAGUUUGGAAGUCGGGGUCUUUGAGCCCUCUGAAAAUCAACGCUGUGGACACGGUCUGUAUGACUUUCCUCUUGGCGCUUUGCCUCUCUACCUGGCAAGCUGAUCAACGGACACAAAUUUGACUGAGCAGACUCCUGUGCAGAGAGAGUGAAAUAAAGGAAUUAUUCAUCAUGAUCAUUUCUCAUGUAUGAUGCUGGAAAUUCAUAAACCUAAGAGAUACGACGCCACAAGUCUCAAUCCUCGGUCCUCUUCUCUCUCUCCACCAGAUCCAUGGUGAUGUCACUGGGGCUCUUGAAACUAGCUCCAUCUAUGAGCCUCUAACGCCCACAUUUAUGUAUCCAGCGUCGACCUUUCCCCUGGACUCUGGACACACGUGUAUCUAACUGCAAGUUCAACAUUGCCACCUGAGAACCUGGCAAGUGUCUCCAGCUCCACGUGUCCUUCAGUGAAAUCCCGGCCGUUCCACCUGAGGCUUUCCCCG